GACUGAAUUUCUGCACUUUGCAGGAAUCAUUUACUGAAACUAAAAGAACAAAUUGUGUAUUAAUUGGGAUGAUUAAGAAACUCGACCUAUCUCGUCCUCCCGUCUCUUGAGAGAUAGGUGAUGUCGCUUUCAACUUGAUCGGUGUCUCAUUGUGUGAGGUAUUAUUCAUUUUGGCUUUAGAGUUCAUUUGCAUUCUCAAUUGGAAUUGUGAUUCUCAUAGACAUCGCUAAGUGAUGUGGCUUGCGACUCGAUCGGUAUCCCAUUGUGUGAGGUAUAUCACUAAAAGGAUGAGGCUUUGAGGUCUAUAAGUCACCCAAGUUCCUCGUCAGCAACCAACGUGGGACUUGCCAAAUGAUGUGUUUGCGACUUGAUUAGGGUUCCGUUGCACAAGAUAUUGUCCGCUUUAGUUUUUGUAUAGACCUCAGGAUUUUGUCCUGAAAAUACAACUUGCUAAAAAGAUGAGUUGUUGAUGUUUGUAAGUCGAGCAAGCUUCUCGUCUGCAACAAAUAUGGGAUUUACCAAAUAAUAUGGUUUGCGA